rnacentral:lncRNA from 1 species
ACUAUAUAAGUGAGACGAUCCAUAAUGCCUUAAGAUUUUUGGGUCAAGAUGUGAUGUUUAAGUCACUUAUGUGAUUGCUCAAAGCCCAAUGUGAUGACACUGGGCCACUUCAUGACCCAACAACCUUUUGAUAUAGCUCCUUCAAAAGAACACACGCCUAGAAAAGUAAGAAAAAAAAUCCUCUACUAUCAGAUUUUGGUAUACCAGAUAAAAAAAAUCCUUUUGGUAUACGUGUCACGCAGUUUUUGAUCUCACUGCCGGAUCUCAAAAGAAUGGUAGAGAUUGUUUUGAACUGAUUUUGUUUUGUGUAAUCUGAACAGUUCGAUCUCAGAUAAACAGCCAAAUCAAAAAUUGCAUGUAACCGCGUUAUUUUUCUAUUGCAGCGGGUCCUUGUCCUCUACUAUCAUGGAAGCACUGAUGCCUGUAAUUUCUAGGUGGUCUUUCAAAUCUAAGAAUAGUUUGAACAUGUCCACAUUGGACUUGUGGAAAGAGGUGAAUAACUUUGAAAGAUAAGGCAAGUAGUGUAUGCAAAUGCAACCGUAAAAUUUCUAUGUUAAACUUAAAUAGUUUUCAUUCAUGUUUCCGUCCGUUAUAAUUGGGAUAAUGUUCAUUAAGCGCAACUCUUUUCGGUUUUGUAACUUUGUUAAAUAAACUUUAUAUUCUUCAUUUUGUUUCUGUUUAUGAAGUGUCUGCUAUUUUUUUGUCGCAUAAUCCAAUUUGCAGAGAAGGGGGAGUGGUGC